UACGGAGGGUGCAAGCGUUAUCCGGAUUCACUGGGUUUAAAGGGUGCGUAGGCGGGCAGGUAAGUCCGUGGUGAAAUCCCCGAGCUUAACUCGGGAACUGCCAUGGAUACUAUUUGUCUUGAAUAUUGUGGAGGUAAGCGGAAUAUGUCAUGUAGCGGUGAAAUGCGUAGAUAUCGUUUGGAACGCCAAUGGUGAAAACAGGUUGCUGGAAGUGUGCUGACGCUGAGACACGAAAGCCAGGGGAGCAAGCGGG
rnacentral:rRNA from 1 species